UACGAAGGGGGCUAGCGUUGCUCGGAAUCACUGGGCGUAAAGCGCUCGUAGGCGGCUUGUUAAGUCUGGGGUGAAAUCCUGGAGCUCAACUCCAGAACUGCCUUUGAUACUGGCGAGCUUGAGUUCGGGAGAGGUGAGUGGAACUGCGAGUGUAGAGGUGAAAUUCGUAGAUAUUCGCAAGAACACCAGUGGCGAAGGCGGCUCACUGGCCCGAUACUGACGCUGAGGUGCGAAAGCGUGGGGAGCAAACAGG
rnacentral:rRNA from 1 species